AGUGGAUACGGGCGGGCUAGAGUGCGGGAGAGGGUGGUGGAAUUCCUGGUGUAGCAGUGAAAUGCGUAGAUAUCAGGAGGAACAUCCGUGGCGAAGGCGGCCACCUGGACCAGUACUGACACUGAGGCACGAAAGCGUGGGGAGCAAACAG
rnacentral:rRNA from 1 species